CCUAUGCCUAAGCCUAAGCCUAUGCCUAUGCCUAUGCCUCAGCCUAAGCCU
ensembl:ncRNA Y51H7C.28 ncRNA